CAGAUUUCCUUCUUCCUCUUAACCCUAAUUUGAUUUCACUUGGCCUCUGUUCUCACUGCUUCCCCUGUUAUCUAGAUCUCUGUUAACUAUCAAUCAAGAUUGUUGUUUUUCAGCCCAAUUCCAAGCACAGCCAGGGUUUCUGGCAUAAAUCUAUUGAUCGAUUUCUAGGGUUUCUGGCAUAAAUCGAUUUUAAUACCAAAUGCCGAUCAAUAACAUGUAAAGAAAAAUCGUCAGGAGAAUCAGCUCGGGAUAUAAUACCAGUAUCAAGAAAAAAAUCGAUUCAAGCAUCAGCACAACGAAGAAGACAAAUAUCGAUAAGAGUACAGGACAGAAGGGCAAAGCCUCAAGUAAGGAUUCUCGUGUUCUGAUGCUUUCUUCGUCUUCAUGGUUUGCUUCUGCCCUUUCGUAUUCUCCCCCUACUACUGCAAUGUUCAAAGGUGAAGGUGGAAACGAGAGUGGCUAUCGGUGAUCCGAGGGAUGUGAUCUGCGAUGUGGCGGAAAAGAUGGGUGUUGAUAUUGUGGUGUUGGGUGGUCAUGGGUACAGUUUGAUCAAGAGACAAGUUUCCUACUUCCUCGCUAGAUUAGUUUAUGAUGGUAAAUUAGGAAUUUUAGGGCAUGCAUUGGUCAGUUUUGGCUCCAAAAACAAAUUACACCCAAAAGGGGUUACAUCAAGCUUAAAUGUAUUGGCUGUCAUAGAAGUUCGGCUUCGUUACAAUUUGCCACUGAUAUUAAUUUUUCAUUGUUUUGGAACUUUCUUGGAUUACAUGUAGCUUUUAAAGGUGAAUGAACACGUUGUCAAGAUCAAGCGGUAAGUCGAAGCUUGCAUAUGAGAUGUAUCGAGUAAUGGAUUUGGUUAUUACAUACAUGGAUGGGGUUUUAAUUGUUUUUUUAGUUGGCUGGAACUCUAAUCUUGGAGGGAUACUACUUGCUACGAAUACGUCUUUUCAGCCUUUCCUUUUAUUAUCUAUCAUUUUUUUAUUAGACUGAUUGGUGUACUAUUCCUUUGAAGCGUAAAUGGUGAAGGGCUGGCACCCGGUCGCUAUCGUUUGAAAGUAGGGUUUUUGUUGAUUGUCAAUCAUCUUGGUGAUAUGUAUCUAUCAUCUGCUAGUAAAAAGUUAUUGAAAACAACUGAUCAACAACAUGCUGGUAGUAUUACACCAAACAAGAUACAGAGAAGUACAUGGUGUAUGAUCAAUGAGGAGAAUUGCAACAAUGGAUGUUUAGGAAUAUUUUAGAGCAAUUAUACCAUAAGAGUUACUUUCAAUAGUA